UGGGGAAUAUUGCACAAUGGGCGCAAGCCUGAUGCAGCCAUGCCGCGUGUGUGAAGAAGGCCUUCGGGUUGUAAAGCACUUUCAGCGGGGAGGAAGGCGGUGAGGUUAAUAACCUCACCGAUUGACGUUACCCGCAGAAGAAGCACCGGCUAACUCCGUGCCAGCAGCCGCGGUAAUACGGAGGGUGCAAGCGUUAAUCGGAAUUACUGGGCGUAAAGCGCACGCAGGCGGUCUGUCAAGUCGGAUGUGAACUCCCCGGGCUCAACCUGGGAACUGCAUUCGAAACUGGCAGGCUAGAGUCUUGUAGAGGGGGGUAGAAUUCCAGGUGUAGCGGUGAAAUGCGUAGAGAUCUGGAGGAAUACCGGUGGCGAAGGCGGCCCCCUGGACAAAGACUGACGCUCAGGUGCGAAAGCGGGGGGAGCAAACAGG
rnacentral:rRNA from 1 species